AGUAGCGCCCCGGGGGUGGGUGUUGUGGGACGGCUGCGGGACGGAGCACAGGGUGCAGGUGAGGCCCUGAUGACUGGUGUCACGGUCGGUUUCUGCACGACAGCCCUUCAGACCGAGUACCUCCCGUGGCUCCUGCCAGGGCUGCCUCCAGCUCGGGCUCUGCCACCACCUCAGGGCUCUGAAUGGGCUUGUUGGCGAGGUGGGCACUGCCGGUACCUUCACUGGCACUCCCUCCUAGCCCGAUCAAAUGGGGUGUUUACAAGAGAUCCAUCUCGGCAAGAACAGGGCAGAGAGCUGUAUGCCAGAAGACACGGAGAGGUUUGUCCUCCAGGGCCUUUGUUCCAACUCCUGUGUCACUUCUGGGGCAGUUUGAGACUUGGUGUUGAAUCACGGAGGGACCCAGCUGUGGUUGUUUCCACCUUGGCCUACCUGGGCAGCUGGAGCGGCCGGGCCUCCUUCCCGCCCGCGGCACGCUCUAGCCAGCGGGACAGCCCGGGCUUGGGCAGUCGCAGCCCGCUGGGGGCUUUGGACUCAGGCAGCGGGUGCGGGCGCUGACAGUGAGGGGAGGAACACGGUAGCAGGCAUGUGCAGCCCAAAGAUACUUAGAUGGGAUUGGAGACAAGAGACCUUCCAGCACUAACCAGGAAAAGCUGCUCAGAGUGUUACUCAGCUGUAAGCAAAGCCUCAGGAUUCAUGUGAUGCUGACCUGGAGGGCGGUACAGUGAUGGGCACAGAGGAGCGGUGGCUCAAUGCAUUUGUACAGAACUGGGCUGCAGUUGCCCAGCUGAGUCAAGAGAGGAUCCCGUCAGCGGCUGGUGAGCACUUCCAGCCUCCCGGCUGCACAGCUGGACAUCGCAGUCUUAGAAUGCAUUGUCCCCUUUUGCCAGUGAUGGAUGGGUGCAGCCAAAUAGAGAAGAUCCAACUCCAUAUCAAGUUCUCAAUAUGGAGAACAUGAAGAAGUUUAGAGCAUUGAGAUGUUUGGAGACCAAAACCUCUGAUUAUGAGGCCAGAGGUGAAGGUGGCAUUGGUCCUGCAGAACCUGCUCACAGUAGGAACAAAGUAGAGGAUGUGGGACAAAUCUUCUGGAUCAAUUAGUUGAGAGAUGCUGUGGGUGGACCACCCCAUAUGCAAAGUCAGCAUAAUGGGAAGUAUCCAAUGGUGAUGACACUGGGCAGGUCCAGCAGCAGUCUUGCAGGUACAACCACCACUUGCGUAUGAAGGAUCAGCGAGAUACCACUGUUACUCCUCUAGGAGCCUGCAGCCAUAUCAAGAUCUUGGUGAUUGGGAAAAAUUCCUGAUGACUGAAAAAAGACAAAUGUCAUACCUACCAUCAAGAAUGGCAAGAAGGAGGAUCUAGGCAACUAUGAACUGGUCAGCCUCAACUCAGUCCCUGGGAAGACUGGACAGCACAUCCUCCUGGCAGCUAUGUCCAAGCACAUGAAGGACAAGAAAAUAACCCGGAGUAGCCAGCAGGGAUUUAGCAAGGGCCAUUUGCACCUCACCAACCUGAUUACUUUCUACAAUGAGACAACUGCCUGUGUGGACAACAGGAGGGCACUGGAUGUUGUAUUGAUUGAUUGUAGCAUUGACUUUAUCAAGGCCUUUGACAUGGUCUCCCACAGUCUACUUGUAGGCAAGUUGGUGAGAUUUGGACUGGAUAAGUGGAGUAUGAAGUGAAUGAAAAACUGGCUGGAUGGGGGUCAUAUCAACAAUAUGAAUUCCAACUGGCAACUAGUUACUAAGGGCAUCCUUCAGGGUCAAUAGUAUUUAAUGUGGCCUGGACAAUGAGCUGUCUUGCACUCUCAGCAAAUUUGUAGACAUUACAAAAUUGGAGAGUACUAUUGCUAUGCUGUAGGGCAGGGCUGCUACUCAGAGGGACCUUGGCAGGCUAGGGAAAAAGGCCUUCCUCUCAGUAAUAGAUGCUGGCAACACAACUGCUGUGAAAAUGUGGCUGUUGCCUCCAGAAGCUGGAGGUGGUAUGUACAUGAACAAGAGGGCUUAGAGGAAAUCUGGCUGAGAGGGCUCUUAACUUCACUACCUACUAACCUAUAUUUCUUCCUUCUGUUUUACCAGUGAUGAAAUCUAAAUGCAAAAUCUAUUAUUGACAACAAGUGUAUGGAAUAUGUGUCUGGUCAUGGGCAUUUUCAACAGAAGCAUCUUGGCUGUAUUGAAACAGAAUUCAGAAAAGUUAAAUGAACUUUGCUGAAGCUGUUGGGAAUUCCUCACCUCUGAGUGACAAGUGCUACUGAGCACCUGUAGCUGGAUUGUCAUAAUGGAAGUUGCAUGGGAACCAUUACUACAGGCAUCCCUCCUGACAUUCCUUCAAGGGCUCUCAAGGUUUACUGAAGAGGGAGUAGUCUUUGACAUGCAGCACUUGUUCCUCCCUACCUCACUCACAAGGAACCAUCUUUGGAUUGGUGAGUCUGGAGAAGAGAAUGCUGUGACGGAACUUGACAGCAGCUCCCCCCAGGACCUAUGAGAAAGUGAUUGGUGGGAGACUGAGAGACAAUCGACAUAAGUUGAAAAAAGAGAGGUUCAAACUGGAUAUGAGGAAAAUCUUUUCCACCAUGAGGACAGUCAAGCACUGGAACAGGUUACCCAGAGAAGUUGUGCAUCCUUGGAAGGCUGAAGAAAACCUUGAGUAACCUGGUCUGAUUUCACAGUUGGCCCUGCUUUGAGCAGAAUUUUGGACUAGCAACCUCCACAGGUCACUUCCAACCUGAAUACACUGAUUCUAUGUAUUGUAAGUCCCCAGAUCUGAGCAAGGACUGACACACUUGCUAUCAUUGCUUUUAUCAGUAUUUCUAAUGAGAUGUUGGCAUCAGCUGCUCCAAGGCUCUAAUUUCAAGAUUAGAACCAGGCAUGAGGCCACCUGAAGGACACUGUGGAGACGCUCCCUAAGUGAAAUGCAGGCCAAAAUUCAGCAUCAUUUGGACAACCAAGUGACAGCCUUGUUGCCAAGUUGUUGCAGGAACAUUGUGACGCAAGGGGUCACUGCUAGCUUUGAUGUCCUGAAACAUGGGGUAAGAAGAGAAUCAGUAGUUCAUAAGGGAACCUGGCUGAAAGCAAGCCCUGCGUUAGGCAGCAUGAAGCCAUACAGUGGGAAGGCCAGUUAUAGCUCUCAGCAGAGGUUGGUACAAAGCAGGAGGCACCAGCACUAUGCUGGCCAGGCUGUUGGAGGGGAGGUGAAGAAACCAUCUUUGAUUCUCUUAUUUAAGUCCCUGAGGAACCCAAACCUUCACUGUGGCUUCUGACUGUGACCUUGACUAUUGUUUACUUGGUGUGUCCUUUAUCCACUUGCCCUAGUUGGGUCUUUUUCAAGAUGUAAACCAGGUAUGUUUGUGCGGCUAAAGCUGUGUGACACUCUCCCUGUACCCUGGGCCCCUCAGGUCGCAGCGCUGUGCCAGAUGACCGCAGUAGACAAAGGGAUCCAGAAAGCACAGGGUGCAGGCAGGAUGGACAGUAUCAAAAAGGCACCUGGGGAGAAGGAGGGGAAACUUCUGAGAUACCCAAACCUUUACCUGUAGUGCAAAAAAAAGUCUGCAGAGAUCCCAUGACUUCUGGAAGUACACACUCUUCAGGCUGUGACUAUCUCCCAGGUUAAAUUGUUAGGGACAGGAAAGGAUUCCUGAAGGAACAAGGGGAUGUCAUUAUCAUGGGCACUCUCAUACUAGUGCUUAUACUAUAUGGCGGCAGGAAACUUUCCAGGGUGCUCUUUGUUCUCGAGGUUAGCCACUGCUGGCAGUGCUGAUGAGUCAUCUUAGAAGCAGUCUUGUCUUGUGUCAAUGUGAAACAGAAGGGCUCCUCCAAAUCCUUUUACAGCUGGUAGAGGAUGUAAAGAGCUCCAGUGAUAGGGACCCAGGGGCAUAAAGCCUAUCUUUAAACAUCAGCUCUUUAAACACAUGAGCGCAAUGGCUGACUGAAACCUUGAUGUGGGACACUAGUGUCCUGGAAGACCUGUGUCAGCCAGACCUGUGAUGAAAAAGAUUAUUCUAAACUAAUCUUCUCCUUUAGAAAAAUAUUCUGGAUAUGCAAUGUCCUGUGUUAAGCAAGGAGACCUUCCCCCGCUCUCCACAAAUGGGUCUUUGAGUGACAAAACUCUGCAGGAUCCUGGAGCUGUAGCUCUUCAAAUUCAUGUAGUCACAUAGGUCCCCUGCCGCAGGCCCAAUGUGAGACUGUAUAUCCCAUUAUUCUAGCAGAGGUGGUUAUACCAACCUUUUGUGAUGCCUACCUACAUAACUAAGCUACCACCAGACCAACAGUGGACUGGUGGUGCCAUACCAUCUGUCCCACAAUGGUAGAAUGUAUGAGUGGCCUGGACACAGGGAUGGCAGCCCAGAAAGGAGCCUGGAGCUCCAAGUUGUACACUACCUCUUCACACAGGUUAUGUCUAUAACAGCAAAUUAAAUAGCGCCAGGGCCUGGCCGCAGGUGUGAGAACUCAGUUGUCUACACUAGUUAAUGGUUCAUGCCUUCCCCAAUAUGGCUGUGGCCUGUGUCAGCUCACAUGUCCACAGGCAAUGCACAAGCACAGUUCAGGAGCGAGCACACACGAGAGAACCACCACUGCCAUUGGGCACUCUGGACACACUCUGGAAGCAGACUGCAUGGACAUGGCCAGAUAGUGCCACCAUCAAAAUCUCUUGAGCUGGACUGAGCUAGAUCAGCUCACUCUCGGGAGGGGAGAGGAGCUGUGUCCCAAACAGAGCAGCCUUAAUUGCCCUUGGUGUGUACUGUGAGAGAGAGGUCACAAUUCUGUGACCUACACAACUGAUCUGCUUGAUUCUGCAGCAUGUGGGUAGUCCUGGGGCAUUACUUUAUGGUCCGGUCCUCACCAGUGGCACCAGCAACAGGAAGAAGCUGCAAGACUGUGCAGCAAAUGCAAAGGAGAGGCCGAAGAGCCUGGGCUGUGGUGGAGUGUGUUGGGAUGGCCACAGUAGUGGAUGGUGGAGAUGAAUUUGGGCAGGCUGAGAGAUAGAAGGGUGGUCAGAAGGAUGAUGGGAUAACUCUUUCAAAGCAUUGCAUGCUGCUCAUAUGCAGUAUGGACAUGAUGCUUCUGCUGUAAAAUGCCCAGUGACUCUAAAAAGUUGAAUGACGUUUGGGCUGCACUACUUGGUGUGCUGUCGUGUCCAAGACUUCAGCCGAGACCUCCGUGUGCCAGCUUCUCACCUGCCAACUGGGGGAAAUAAUCCCGGAGAUAAAGUGCAUUGUGAUCUCUGACAAGUGUUUGACCAGUUCGUAAAGACUUCUAGAGACAGUGAUGUCACAUCUACCCCAACGACCUUAAUUACUAAGAAAGUUUUCCUUGAUAUGUCACUUCGUCCUCUCCUCUGUAACUCCCCAUUUCUUGUCACCAUGGAGUGAACCUUCUGGCUCUCAUUUGAGGUCCCAGUCAUUCCACACUAGCACUAAACAUAUUUUCCUGUUUCAGUUUGUGCAUGCAAAAAAUUAAAUAACAGAAGUAUAAGAUUGAGGUACUUUUCAAUAAUUUUCAUGCUAUUUAUUUCAUAGUAUUCCUGCACUGGCUAUUCUAUUCAUGAUAAAAUGUGUAAAAAUUGUUUCAAAUAAAUAAAGUAUUCGUGAAA